rnacentral:misc_RNA from 1 species
GAUGAAGAACGUAGCGAAAUGCGAUAAGUAAUGUGAAUUGCAGAAUUCAGUGAAUCAUCGAAUCUUUGAACGCACCUUGCGCCCUUUGGACAUUCCGAAGGGCAUGCCUGUUUGAGUAUCAUGAACACCUCAACUCUCACGGCUUGUCCGUGAUGAGCUUGGACUUUGGGGGUCUUGCCGGCCUGUGGUCGACUCCUCUCAAAUGGAUCAGCUUGCCGGUGUUUGGUGGCAUCACAGGUGUGAUAACUAUCUGCGCUUGUGGUUUUCCAUCAGAUAACCUUCAGUGAUAUGGAGGUUCGCUGGAGCUCACAAAUGUCUCUCCUUAGUGAGGACAGCUCUUUGAACGUUUGAUCUCAAAUCAGGUAGGACUACCCGCUGAACUUAAGCAUAUCAAUAAGCGGAGGA